CCUACGGGAGGCAGCAGUGGGGAAUAUUGCGCAAUGGGCGAAAGCCUGACGCAGCGACGCCGCGUGAGGGAUGAAGGUCUUCGGAUCGUACACCUCUGUCAGCAGGGAAGAACGGUCACUGUGCUAAUCAGCAGUGAAUUGACGGUACCUGCAAAGGAAGCACCGGCUAACUCCGUGCCAGCAGCCGCGGUAAUCCGGAGGGUGCGAGCGUUAAGCGGAAUUACUGGGGGUAAAGCGCUCGUAGGCGGUAUGUCAAGUCAAGGGUGAAAUCCCCGCGCUCAACGUGGGAACUGCCUUUGAAACUGACAAACUGGAGUGUGUGAGAGGAUAGUGGAAUUCCAGGUGUAGGAGUGAAAUCCGGAGAUAUCUGGAGGAACAUCAGUGGCGAAGGCGACUAUCUGGCACAUAACUGACGCUGAGGAGCGAAAGCGUGGGUAGUAAACAGGAUUAGAUACCCUAGUAGUC
rnacentral:rRNA from 1 species